rnacentral:tRNA from 1 species
ACUAGGUUGGCCGAGUGGUUUAAGGCGCCAGACUUAAGAUCUGGUCUCCGAUUGGAGGCGUGGGUCGAACCCCUCACCUGGUA